GUAGAUUUGGUCACUGCCUGAGUAACCCUGUCAACAGGUAUCUUCAAUAGUUGAAAGCAAUCAUCAGCUAUAAUAAUUUGUCUAGGAUUGCGUUGAACCGCAUAUGGAAGUUGCAAAAGCACAUGGCCAACACGACGCAGGACAUUAGGAUCCUUGGCAAACAUUCCAACAGUGUCUAGAGUUGUCGAAACAGGUAUGAUUCCAACUUGGGAAACAGAUCCAUGUGAAGGUCGAAACCCUAAAAUGCCACAAAAGCUAGCAGGUAUUCUCACGUCACCAACAGUAUCAAUACCCAAAGAGAAGUCAACAAGAUU
rnacentral:misc_RNA from 1 species